UACGAAGGGGGCUAGCGUUGUUCGGAAUCACUGGGCGUAAAGCGCACGCAGGCGGAUCGUUAAGUCAGGGGUGAAAUCCCGGGGCUCAACCUCGGAACUGCCUUUGAUACUGCAAAUCUCGAGUCCGGAAGAGGUGAGUGGAAUUCCUAGUGUAGAGGUGAAAUUCGUAGAUAUUAGGAAGAACACCAGUGGCGAAGGCGGCUCACUGGUCCGGUACUGACGCUGAGGUGCGAAAGCGUGGGGAGCAAACAGG
rnacentral:rRNA from 1 species